CGCCCCGCCCCUCCCCCCGCCGGCCGUGGAUGCUCUCGGGCAGCGGCGGCCGCGGUGCCCGGGCGGCGGGGGCAUGGCGGCCCCGGACAGCUGCGUCAAGGUGGCCGUGAGGAUCCGUCCCCAACUGUCCAAAGAGAAAAUAGAGGGAUGUCACAUCUGCACCUCGGUGACGCCUGGUGAGCCCCAGGUACUGCUGGGGAAGGACAAAGCCUUCACCUACGACUUUGUCUUUGACCUGGACACAUGGCAGGAGCAGAUCUACACGACGUGCGUGGGCAAGCUCAUCGAAGGCUGCUUUGAGGGCUACAAUGCCACAGUGCUGGCAUACGGCCAGACUGGCGCCGGGAAGACAUACACCAUGGGCACCGGCUUCGACAUGAACAUCUCUGAGGAUGAGCAGGGCAUCAUCCCGCGGGCCAUUGGCCACCUCUUCAGCGGCAUUGAGGAGCGUAAGCGGGCGGCGCAGAGUCAGGGUGUGGCAGCACCCGAGUUCAAAGUCAGCGCCCAGUUCCUGGAGCUCUACAAUGAGGAGAUCCUGGACCUGUUUGACAGUGCCCGUGACCCUGACGCACGCCACCGCAAAUCCAACAUCAAAAUUCAUGAGGAUGCCAGCGGGAGCAUCUACACCACAGGGGUCACGUCGCGCCUCAUCAGCUCGCAGGACGAGCUCAUCCAGUGCCUAAAACAGGGGGCUCUUUCCCGCACCACCGCCAGCACCCAGAUGAAUGUGCAGAGCUCCCGGUCACAUGCCAUCUUCACCAUUCACCUGUGCCAGAUGAGAGUGUGCACCCGCCCGGAGCUGGUGAAUGGGGAGGUGACCAGCCUCCUGGAUGGAGCCCAGCCCACCACCGAGUACGAGACCCUCACGGCCAAGUUUCACUUCGUAGACUUGGCUGGCUCAGAGAGGCUGAAGCGAACGGGUGCUACUGGCGAGAGAGCGAAGGAAGGCAUCUCCAUCAACUGUGGGCUGCUGGCCUUGGGGAACGUCAUUAGUGCCCUCGGAGACCAGAGCAAGAAAGUUGUGCACGUGCCCUACCGCGAUUCCAAGCUCACCCGCCUGCUGCAAGAUUCCCUGGGGGGCAACAGCCAAACCAUCAUGAUUGCCUGCGUGAGCCCAUCUGACCGGGACUUCAUGGAGACCCUGAACACGCUCAAGUAUGCCAACCGGGCUCGCAACAUCAAGAACAAGGUGGUGGUGAACCAGGACAAGACAAGUCAGCAGAUCAGUGCCCUGCGGGCCGAGAUCGCCCGCCUGCAGAUGGAGCUGAUGGAGUACAAGGCGGGCAAACGGGUCAUUGGGGAGGAUGGCUCAGAGGGCUACAGCGACCUUUUCCGUGAGAACGCCAUGCUGCAGAAGGAGAACAGUGCCCUGCGCAUGCGGGUGAAGGCCAUGCAGGAAGCCAUCGAUGCUAUCAACAGCAGGGUCACCCACCUCAUGAGCCAGGAGGCCAAUCUGAUGCUGGCCAAAGCAGGUGACGGUAAUGAAGCCAUUGGCGCCCUCAUCCAGAACUACAUCCGGGAGAUUGAAGAGCUGAGGACGAAGCUCCUGGAGAGCGAGUCCAUGAACGAGUCUCUGCGUCGCAGCCUCUCGCGUGUCUCUGCCCGGCCCCCCUACUCCAUGGGUUCGUCCCCAGCAUCUGGCUUGGCUGGCCUGUGCAGCCCCGCUGCUCCAGUAGAGACGGAGGCCUCCGAUGUCCUCCGACGGGCUAAGCAGGACCUGGAGCGCCUGAAAAAGAAAGAGAGGAGGCAGCGGAGGAAAAGCCCGGAGAAGGACGCAUUUAAGAAGCGGCAGAAACUGCAGCAGGACAAAGGGGAGGAGACAGAUGAGAACGAGGUGGAAGAGGAGGAGGAGGAACAGGACGAGAGCGGCUGUGAGGAAGAGGAUGGGCGUGAGGAUGAAGAUGAGGACUCGGGCAGUGAAGAGAGCCUGGUGGAUUCAGACUCAGAUGCAGAGGAGAAGGCCGUGAAUUUCCAGGCAGACCUGGCAGAUCUGACUUGCGAGAUAGAGAUCAAGCAGAAGCUGAUUGAUGAGCUGGAGAACAGCCAGCGACGCCUGCAGACCCUCAAGCACCAGUAUGAGGAGAAACUGAUCCUGCUGCAGAACAAGAUUCGGGACACACAGCUGGAGCGGGACCGGGUCCUGCAAAACCUCAGCACCAUGGAGUGCUACACAGAGGAGAAAGCCAACAAGAUCAAAGCAGACUAUGAGAAGCGGCUGAAGGAGAUGAACCGGGACCUCCAGAAGCUGCAGGCAGCCCAGAAGGAGCAUGCUCGCCUGCUGAAGAACCAGUCCCGCUACGAGCGGGAGCUGAGGAAGCUGCAGGCAGAGGUGGCCGAGAUGAAGAAGGCAAAGGUUGCGCUGAUGAAGCAGAUGCGGGAGGAGCAGCAGCGGAGGCGGCUGGCAGAGACGAAGAGGAAUCGGGAGAUCGCGCAGCUCAAGAAGGAGCAGCGCCGGCAGGAGUUUCAGAUCCGGGCUCUGGAGUCUCAGAAGCGGCAGCAGGAAAUAGUCUUACGGAGGAAAACCCAGGAGGUCUCGGCACUGCGCCGUCUUGCCAAGCCUAUGUCAGACCGGGCUGCGGGCAGGACAAGCCAGAAGCCAGCCAUGCUGGACUCAGGCGCAGAGGUCUCAGCCAGUACCACCUCCUCUGAGCCCGAGUCCGGUGCUCGCUCCGUCUCCAGCAUUGUGCGCCAGUGGAACAGGAAAAUCAACAACUUCCUGGGAGACCCCUCAUCCUCUGUGAAUGGUGCUCGGCCUGUCAGGAAGAAGUUCCCCAAGAAGGGUGCGAGCCAAACCUUCAGCAAAGCUGCCCGCCUCAAGUGGCAGUCGCUGGAGCGGCGCAUCUUCGACAUUGUCAUGCAGAGGAUGACCAUCGUCAACCUGGAGGCUGACAUGGAGCGGCUCAUCAAGAAACGUGAGGAGCUGGCACUGCUGCAGGAAGCAUUGUUGGGCAAGAGGGCGAAACUGCAGGCAGAGAGCCCUAAGGAACAGAAGGGGCUGCAGGAGCUGAACGAGGAGAUCGAGGUGCUGGGGGCCAACAUUGACUACAUCAACGACAGCAUUUCCGACUGCCAGGCCACCAUCAUGCAGAUCGAGGAGACCAAGGAGGAGCUGGACUCCACGGACACGUCGGUGGUGAUCAGCUCCUGCUCCCUGGCCGAAGCCAGGCUCCUGCUGGACAACUUCCUGAAGGCCUCCAUUGACAAGGGGCUGCAGGUGGCACAGAAGGAGGCCCAGAUCCGCCUGCUGGAGGGGCGCCUGCGGCAGACGGACAUGACCGGUGCCUCGCAGAACCACGCCAUCCUGGAUGCCCUGCGGGAGAAGGCUGAAUCGCACCCCGAGCUGCAGGCCCUGAUCCACAACGUCCAGCAAGAGAAUGGCUACGCCAGCACGGAUGAGGAGGUCUCAGAGUUCAGCCUGGCUUCAGAUGGGAGCAUCUCCCAGUCUUUCACCAUGAAGGGCUCAGCAAGCCAGGAUGACUUCAAGUUCAAGGGAGAACCCAAGCUCUCAGGGCAGAUGAAGGCAGUGUCAGCUGAGUGUCUAGGACCCACGUUGGACAUCUCCACCAAGAACAUCACCAAGUCUUUGGCAUCCCUCAUGGAGAUCAAAGAGGAUGGGAUCAGCUUCUCCAUCCGAGACCCUUAUUACAAGGAGAAGGUGUCGCGCACCAUCAGCCUGCCCACACGAGGAAGCACCUUUCCCAGGCAGUCUCGUGGCUCAGACACUUCGCCUCUGACAAGGAGGAAAUCCUAUGACCGUGGGCAACCUGCCAGGCCUCCAGAUGUUGGCUUCACGCCUCCCUCAUCCCCACCCACCCGUCCACGCAACGACCGCAAUGUCUUCUCUCGUCUUACGAGCAACCAGAGCCAGGGGUCUGCCUUGGAUAAGUCUGAUGACAGCGAUUCCUCUGUCUCGGAGGUGCUGAGGGGCGUCAUUAAUCCGGUGGGUGGCACUAAGAAUGCCCGGACAGCCCCACUUCAGUGCGUCUCCGUGGCAGAAGGACACACCAAACCUGUGCUCUGCCUGGAUGCCACCGACGAGCUGCUUUUCACUGGGUCCAAAGACCGGAGCUGCAAAAUGUGGAACCUGGUGACGGGCCAAGAAAUUGCUUCCCUCAAGGGUCACCCAAACAACGUGGUUUCCAUCAAGUACUGCAGCCACACGGGGCUGGUGUUCACCGUGUCCACGUCGUACAUCAAAGUGUGGGACAUCCGGGACUCAGCCCGGUGCAUCCGCACCCUCACAUCUUCUGGACAGGUGAUCUCUGGGGACGCAUGUGCUGGGACCACCACCCGCACUGUCACCAGUGUGCAGGGGGAGCACCAGAUCAACCAGAUCGCUCUCAACCCCACUGGCACCAUGCUCUAUGCUGCCACUGGUAACUCCGUUCGCAUCUGGGAGCUGAGCAGGUUGCAGCCCAUCGGGAAGCUGAGUGGCCACAUCGGCCCUGUGAUGUGUCUCACAGUAAACCAGACGGCGAGCAACCAUGACCUGGUGGUCACAGGCUCCAAAGAUCACUACGUCAAGGUGUUUGAGAUUGCUGAGGGCAUGGUGGGGAAUAUUGGCCCCACUCACAACUUCGAGCCCCCUCACUAUGACGGCAUCGAGUGUUUGGCCAUCCAGGGAGACAUCCUCUUCAGCGGCUCCAGGGACAAUGGCAUAAAGAAGUGGGAUCUGGAGCAGCAGGAACUUAUCCAGCAAAUCCCCAACGCCCAUAAAGACUGGGUCUGUGCCCUGGCCUUCAUCCCCGGCCGCCCCAUGGUGCUGAGUGCCUGCCGAGGAGGCAUGAUCAAAGUCUGGAAUGUGGACACCUUCACCCCAGUUGGGGAGAUUAAAGGGCACGACAGCCCCAUCAACGCCAUCUGCACCAACUCAAAGCACAUCUUCACCGCCUCCAGUGACUGCCGGGUAAAGUUAUGGAAUUACGUGCCUGGGCUCACCCCUUGCCUUCCACGACGCGUCCUUGCCAUAAAGGGCCGUGCUACUAGUCUGCCUUGACCCUCCUGCUCUUUCUGACUCUCUUGCUCAUGCACUCUUCUUCCGUCUUUUCUUUCCUUUUCUCUUUCUCUCCAUCUCUUUCUCCCUCUGUCUUUCUCUCUGUUGCUUUUUUGCUCCUCUCGCUCUCUUUUUCUUUCUUUCUCUCUGGUCUGAGCUGCUUCUUCACGCGACUUGACAGUGAAGCUUUGGAGCGGGAGGAGGUUACCCGCGGGGUCGAACUAGGAACUGCAAAAAGACUGGAAGACGUGACAGGAGGGUGAAGGUCGGGGUACAUCCCACUUGCUAUCAAGACCCUGUCAUCUACAGGACCUCAGCCCAGGGAUAGGGAUUUCUUUGUGCCCGACCCAACGGGGUGGAUGAUGUCCCAUCUGGUACUUUGAGCACUGCCAGGUCCCGUGAGGAGGCAGCUCUGUGGGGCACCAUCAGCUCCACCUUCCCUCCUGCUGAGGUUUCUUGAUGGUUUUCCAGUGACCAGGAAAUGUUUUGUCUCUCUUCUCACCCACCCUGCUGCAAUGCCUGCCGGGACUUCUGGGGGUCAGAGCUCCUUGGCUCCUUGUCAAGAGACACCCAAUUCCCUCCUGCCACUGUGGGCUUAUGUGGCCUCCACCGUGAUGUGCUUCCUCUGUCCCUGUUGGCUCCGGGGCUGGUUCCUGCAGGAGUCUUUCUCCACUCCAUGGCCAUGAGGACAUUUGGUGUCUGCUGGCCAGGACCACAGCAUGGAGGGGCUGCUUCUUUGGAGACAUUACUUGUGAGAUAGCCUCUCUGCUGUGGGGGUCUGCAGAAGGAUUUUCGGGUAGUCCCAUCAUUCCCCAUCCUCCGUCUACCUGUCCCCAGCAAUUGGAGGUGUGCACCUCUGAGCUCCUUUGCCAAGGCACAGCAAGCCUGGGAAGAUCUCCAUCGGGCAACUUCCAGACAAACCCUCUGCAGUUCCCUUCGAUGUUCUCCAAACCCCAGUCAUAAACUCAGCUGACCCAUGGCUCUUGGCGUCUUCCCGUGUGCCCACCCUGCUCUGCAGUGGGGAAGGGAAGGGCUGCUUAGCCCUGCUUUUGAAACCUUGGUCCUCAGCAGCGAUUUUGUGGUGGGUUCCUGCAGUGUGUUAACCCCCUUGAGAUGGAGAAACAGAGCGAGACCGGAGGUUACAGGGCAAAGAAGCCAAGGCUGGAUUUUUCACCCCCACUCCUGUGGCCCAUCUUGUUUUGCCAUCACUGGGAGCUGGAAGCUGUAACUCCUUCCCCAAGGCUCUGCUCUCAGCCUUCUACCAGAGAGGGGGCUAGCUCAGGUUUGGCCUGUUUCCCCCUGUGGAUCCGGGAGCUGGAGGAGGCCCAGCUAGGCAUGGAGCAGCCAGUGUUUGGGUCAGGAUGGAGUUGGCUGUGCUGGGAGCAGGGUGAGGAAGGGGUUGCACACACUGGGGUUGCACAAGUCCCCUGAUUCUCCCUAUGCUUGAAGGACAAUCGUGAAGUGGAUGAUCUUGCACAAUCUAACCUCCGUGAAGGGCUGGGGGCUCCGUCCAGUAGUGUGUCCCCAAGGACACGGCUUUUCCAGGCUCCCUCCUCCCUCUCUCCUGUGCAAGGGGCUGGCAAGGUCCUGGUCUCACACUCCAUCUCUCCCAUGGCUCGUUGGACCAUCCCCUGCUCCAUCCUGCCCUAGGCCAGGCAGGGCUUGUUGUGGUAUGGCUGAGGAGACCCCCGGACUGGUGCUCUUGCCUCACGUGGUUUCACUUCCCCUCUGUCACAGAAGAAGCAGCAUUUAAACUGAAAUUUAAGGAUUUUUUUUCCAUGUGAUCCCACCAGCACUGAACUGGGAUCUCAGAGGCCAGGGGCUCCAGGACCCGCCUCACAAAGCACAGACCAUUUUCCUUCUGCUUUGUCCAACCAUGGUGACUCGCGGACCAGCCCCAGGUCAUUUGCCACCAGCCCUCGUUAAAACCAUUCCAGGUGGAGCGUGGGAAUUCCUCUGCAUCCUGAAAGGCAGGAGCAUCUCUGUUGAUUUUAUGGGGAUUUUUUUGCCUUUUUGGGGGGGAAAAACCCCAUCCUGCUGGCUUGCCUUGAUGGGAUGUGUGUGGGUGUGACCCUGCCCAGGACAGUGACUGGUCCCUCAUGAUCGUGGCUGAGCCCUGCACAGCCUGGGACCGGUGGCUGCAUUGAGGCGAGGAGCCUUCCUGCUGUCGCUGGUGGAGAAGUGGUGCUGAUGCUGGCAGCUCUGGGCUGUGCACUCCGUGGGA